AUUGAACGCUGGCGGCAGGCCUAACACAUGCAAGUCGAACGAGUGGCGGACGGGAGGGUAAUGUCUGGGAAACUGCCCGAUGGAGGGGGAUAAAUACUGGACACGGUAGCUAAUACCGCACAACAUAGGCUGUGCCCAGAUGGGAUUAGCUAGUAGGUGGGGUAACGGCUCACCUAGGCGACGAUCCCUAGCUGGUCUGAGAGGAUGACCAGCCACACUGGAACUGAGACACGGUCCAGCCUCCUACGGGAGGCAGCAGUGGGGAAUAUUGCACAAUGGGCGCAAGCCUGAUGCAGCCAUGCCGCGUGUAUGAAGAAGGCCUUCGGUUUGUAAAGUACUUUCAGCGAGGAGGCGUUACUCGCAGAAGAAGCACCGGCUAACUCCGUGCCAGCAGCCGCGGUAAUAC
rnacentral:rRNA from 1 species